rnacentral:tmRNA from 1 species
GGGGAUGCAAUGGUUUCGACGGGAUGUCGGGGUCAUGCAGCCGCGUUCCGUGCAUGGUACUACGCACGUAAAUCCUGUACCAACUGGUAUAAUUGCCAACCACGAUUACGCACUGGCAGCUUAAUUGACUGCCACGUCCCCCGGAGACCCGCCUGCUGGCCAAAGGGUCGGACGACGCUAAAAGCAGGAUAGGCACCUCAAGCGUUCGAGGAGAGGGCCGAAACACUUCUUCGAGCUAGCUUCCGCGCACGUCCUGUCUGUCGGGCAGCACGGAAGCGAACCUUCAAAGACAGACUAUGAGCGUAGUAUGCUGCAGGUUCUGCAUUUCGGACGGGGGUUCGAUUCCCCCCAUCUCCAC